AAAAAUUGAUUAUCAAGCAUCUCUUGCUCUCUCCCAAGUCCCAAACCUUGAAAGCCUGCAAAUUUUUUCUUUAAAUUGGUUUCAAUGGAUACUCAAUUAUUCAGUUCAUUCUCAUCCAUCACCCAAUCUUUCUCCUCUCUAUGUUUCUGUUAUUCUACGGUGAUCAUACGUAUUUUUCAGCUUUCGAUCGAUGUAGGCUGAGGUACAAAUCAAAAUAGGACCGGCCUUGCCGAUGAGCACUCGUUCUGCAGCAGCCAAAGCAUCGGAUCCAGUAUGCUUAGACGAUUGAAAUGACGCUCAUCUAAUGACUAAUGGUCAAGAAAUUUUGUCCGGUGCAAUUAGAAGUUGGAUUUGCAAGUCAGUCUCGAUCAGAAAAGAAAAAACGAGAAGGAAAAAAGCUGAUUCUAGAUUUCCAGGUUUUAUUGUUCUAUGCUAAAGUGUUUAUCAUUCAACGUUUAGUGUUU